GCUCCAGUAGCUCAGGGGAUAGAGCAACCGCCUCCUAAGCGGUAGGUCGUACGUUCGAAUCGUAUCUGGAGCA
rnacentral:tRNA from 1 species